rnacentral:sRNA from 1 species
CCAGCGCUGGCGCCCUGGCGGCGCGGAAGCCCGCGGCCAAAUGACUCGACGGGGGCAAAGGAGGACAACAGUUCCCACCAGGACAAAAAAUAAUAUCCAAAGAUAUUUUGGCACUAACGGCGCUAUCUGUAGCAAGAAAGUUGAGCAGUGUGAACUGUUGAGACUUCCAAGGAAACUUCAGACAACCAAGAAAGUGUAAAGGAAAACAGAGAAAAAGACUUGUUAGACAUUAUUAAGGGCACGAAAGUUGAAUUGAGCACAGUAAAUGUACAAACAACAAAGCCACCCAACAGAAGUUCACUUAAAAGCUACAACUGGCGGGCCUCAAAGAGCUUUAGGACAUGCUCCAAAGAAGAGAAAUGAGCCCCUGAGUCCUGAGUUGGUGGCAGCUGCAUCUGCUGCUGUGUUUUGACAAGCAAACAAGCCAGAACUGCUCAGGCAGCUCCGUAGCAUGAGGAAGAGUCAGGGGCACAGAGAGAUGGAGAGAGACCUAAUUAGGAAAAAUAUAUUCAAGGGGAAGAGAUGUAAUAGAUUUCACAUUAUGGCAGUUACUAAAGAAGCACGUGAACAGACACAUCACCUUCGCUUUGGGGUAUGGAAUUUGAUAAGCAGUUAGCCACAGAAUAUGAACAACCCCUUUAGAAUGAGAUUGAAGAACUGAUCCAGGGGACAAAAGAGGGGAAACUGAGAGUUCCCAAUUAAUAAUGAAGCAGCUUCAUGUCUAAGAUCUCUGGUGGACUUUUUCUGCCCGUGGACGCCACUGAAGAAGCAUCGUUAAAGUCUCCCUUCACCCUGCUGUCAUGUCUAAGUCAGCGUCUCCAAA